GUUGUACUCCCUCCGUCUGAAAAUACUUGUCAUCAAAAUGAAUAAAAGAGGGUGUAUCUAGAUGUAUUUUAGUUCUAGAUACAUCUUUUUUGUCCAUUUUGAUGACAAGUAUUUUCGGAUGAAGGGAGUAUAUA
rnacentral:pre_miRNA from 1 species